UACACAAACCAGAAAUGGCCUUUCCCCUCC
rnacentral:piRNA from 1 species